GACGAACGCUGGCGGCGUGCUUAACACAUGCAAGUCGAACGCUGAAGGCCUGGCUUUUGUUGGGUUGGAUGAGUGGCGAACGGGUGAGUAACACGUGAGUAACCUGCCCUCUUCUUUGGGAUAACGCCCGGAAACGGGUUCUAAUACCGGAUAUUCACUGAUCUUCGCAUGGGGGUUGGUGGAAAGGCUUGUUCUGGUGGGGGAUGGGCUCGCGGCCUAUCAGCUGGUGGGUGGGGUGAUGGCCUACCAAGGCUUUGACGGGUAGCCGGCCGGGGAGGGUGACCGGUCACAUUGGGACUGGGCUACGGCCCAGACGCCGACGGGAGGCAGCAGUGGGGAAUAUUGCACAAUGGGCGAAAGCCUGAUGCAGCGACGCCGCGUGAGGGAUGGAGGCCUUCGGGUUGUAUACCUCUUUCGCUCAUGGUCAUGCCGCAACUGUGGGUUGUGGUGAGGUUAGUGGGUAAAGAAGCGCCGGCUAACUACGUG
rnacentral:rRNA from 1 species